rnacentral:rRNA from 1 species
GGUGACCUGCGGAAGGAUUAUUA